GCCGGUGUGGGAAGGCAGUGCCGCGCAGGGCUCCGCAGCGGGCAGUGGCAUAGCCAGUGAGUAACUGAAGAAUGACAACUGUGUGCUGAAUACAACCUGCACAUUGUAAUACAGCAUGGGAAACAAGGAAAAUGACUGCAACAUUUUGAUAAGAGUCCCAUACUUCCACCCACUGCAAUACGAGAUUAAAGUACAAACUAAGUAGAAAAUAGACCUGCAAGGCUUCAAAUGUCAUUACAGGGAUAUGAUCAACUCUGGAUAAAUAAUGCAGUAUGUCAGUAGUGGAGCUUACUCAGAACAGAUGUCGCAUCAAUAACAAACUUGUUCUCUGUAACAUGAAAUGACUCUGAAAGAUGUAUGAACAAGGCGCAAGCCCAAGUCACUCGCCAGGCCCAGCGAGUGGCAGUGUAGUGAAACUUCUUCUGACAUGAGGAAACAGAAAGUUUAUCACAAGCCUGUGGCGCUCAGCCUGAAGUAUGAGGUGCUGAAGAAAGGCCAGGAGAGAUUAAGAAGGCUUGAGGUUAUUUACUCUCAAUGCUGUUAAGCAAGAUGGCAAUUAGGAAAUUUAGCUGCGAAACAACUUUCUGCCUGGCAAAGGAAAAAGAAUGAUAAAGAUGGGGAAAUCGCAAUCAAGAAGAUCCUGCCAAAAAGUCAAGAUACCUGCCAAAAGGGAUGAAUUAAAGACACUUAUGAAACAAGCUAAAAGGAGCAGGACUGUCAGGGUCCUUUCUCACCUGUUGAAUAAAAUUGUUUUUAAUGGUUUUCUUCA